CUGGCUCAGGAUGAACGCUAGCGGCAGGCUUAACACAUGCAAGUCGAGGGGUAGAGUUCUUCGGAGCUUGAGACCGGCGCACGGGUGCGUAACGCGUAUGCAAUCUACCUUUUACAGAGGGAUAGCCCAGAGAAAUUUGGAUUAAUACCUCAUAGUAUAAUUGAAUGGCAUCAUUUGAUUAUUAAAGUCACAACGGUAAAAGAUGAGCAUGCGUCCCAUUAGCUAGUUGGUAAGGUAACGGCUUACCAAGGCUACGAUGGGUAGGGGUCCUGAGAGGGAGAUCCCCCACACUGGUACUGAGACACGGACCAGACUCCUACGGGAGGCAGCAGUGAGGAAUAUUGGACAAUGGGCGCAAGCCUGAUCCAGCCAUGCCGCGUGCAGGAUGACGGUCCUAUGGAUUGUAAACUGCUUUUGUACAGGAAGAAACACUGGUUCGUGAACCAGCUUGA
rnacentral:rRNA from 1 species